rnacentral:rRNA from 1 species
CCUACGGGAGGCAGCAGUGGGGAAUAUUGCACAAUGGGCGCAAGCCUGAUGCAGCCAUGCCGCGUGUGUGAAGAAGGCCUUCGGGUUGUAAAGCACUUUCAGCGGGGAGGAAGGCGUUAAGGUUAAUAACCUUGGCGAUUGACGUUACCCGCAGAAGAAGCACCGGCUAACUCCGUGCCAGCAGCCGCGGUAAUACGGAGGGUGCAAGCGUUAAUCGGAAUUACUGGGCGUAAAGCGCACGCAGGCGGUCUGUCAAGUCGGAUGUGAAAUCCCCGGGCUCAACCUGGGAACUGUAUUCGAAACUGGCAGGCUAGAGUCUUGUAGAGGGGGGUAGAAUUCCAGGUGUAGCGGUGAAAUGCGUAGAGAUCUGGAGGAAUACCGGUGGCGAAGGCGGCCCCCUGGACAAAGACUGACGCUCAGGUGCGAAAGCGUGGGGAGCAAACAGGAUUAGAUACCCGUGUAGUC